rnacentral:rRNA from 1 species
AGUGAACGCUGGCGGUAGGCCUAACACAUGCAAGUCGAACGGCAGCACAGUAAGAGCUUGCUCUUACGGGUGGCGAGUGGCGGACGGGUGAGGAAUACAUCGGAAUCUACUUUUUCGUGGGGGAUAACGUAGGGAAACUUACGCUAAUACCGCAUACGACCUACGGGUGAAACCAGGGGAUCUUCGGACCUUGCGCGAUUGAAUGAGCCGAUGUCGGAUUAGCUAGUUGGCGGGGUAAAGGCCCACCAAGGCGACGAUCCGUAGCUGGUCUGAGAGGAUGAUCAGCCCCAAUGGAACUUGGACACCGUCCAGACUCCUACGGGAGGGAACAGGGGGGAAUAUUGGACAAAGGGGGCAAGCCUGAUCCCACCCUACCGCGUGGGGGAAAAAAGCCUUCGGGGUGUAAAACCCUUUUUUUGGGAAAAAAAAACAGCAGGUUAAUACCCCGCUGUUUUGACGGUACCCAAAGAAAAAACACCGGCUAACUUCGUG